AUUGAACGCUGGCGGCAGGCCUAACACAUGCAAGUCGAACGAGUGGCGGACGGGUGAGUAAUGUCUGGGAAACUGCCUGAUGGAGGGGGAUAACUACUGGAAACGGUAGCUAAUACCGCAUACCAUCAGAUGUGUCCAGAUGGGAUUAGCUUGUUGGUGGGGUAACGGCUCACCAAGGCGACGAUCCCUAGCUGGUCUGAGAGGAUGACCGGCCACGAUGGAACUGAGAAACGGCCCCGACGCCUACGGGAGGCAGCAGUGGCGAAUAUGGCACAAUGGGCGCAAGCCUAAUGCGGCCAUGCCGCGUGUAUGAAGAAGGCCUUCGGGUUGUAAAGUACUUUCAGCGGGGAGGCGUUACCCGCAGAAGAAGCACCGGCUAACUCCGUGCCAGCAGCCGCGGUAAUAC
rnacentral:rRNA from 1 species